AAAGAUUUAGUUAAAUAAUAACAUUAGAAUGUCAAACUAAAAUUAUCAUAGAUAAUCUUUU
rnacentral:tRNA from 1 species